rnacentral:lncRNA from 1 species
AAACGUUUUAAAAAGUUUACUAAAUGGUUAUUGUUCCAUAAGUGUACAUAUGUAUGAUCGAAGUAUAUAUAGAAUCAGUACAUGAUACACAACAUGCGACAAAUAAGGGGGGGGGGGUAGUAAUAACAGGAAACUAAAUUAAACUAAGGCUUUGAUGGAUGUAAACUUCAAUAAAACUGGAAGUUACAUAAGGGGAACAGGAAAAUAAGAAUAUAUUGCAUCACUUACAACAAUCUUUAAAUUGACCAGUGAUUUUUUAUUCAUUACUGACCAGCAACACCGAGAUAAUCCAACGAUUUUUUAAGAGUCCAUAUUAAGUGUGGACCUAAAUGUUCUUUAUCUUUAAAUAUAACGC